rnacentral:rRNA from 1 species
GAUGAACGCUGGCGGUAUGCUUAACACAUGCAAGUCGAACGGACUCUUCGGAGUUAGUGGCGGACGGGUGAGUAACGCGUGAGAAUCUGGCUUUGGGUUCGGGACAACCACUGGAAACGGUGGCUAAUACCGGAUGUGCCGAGAGGUAAAAGAGAAAUUGCCUGAAGAUGAGCUCGCGUCUGAUUAGCUAGUUGGUGAGGUAAAGGCUCACCAAGGCAGCGAUCAGUAGCUGGUCUGAGAGGAUGACCAGCCACACUGGGACUGAGACACGGCCCAGACUACUACUGGAGGAAGCAGUGGGGAAUGAUCCGCAAAGGGCGAAAGCCUGAAGGAGCAAUACCGCGUGAGGGAAGAAGGCUCUUGGGUUGUAAACCUCUUUUCUUAGGGAAGAACAAAAUGACGUUACCUAAAGAAUCAGCAUCGGCUAACUCCGUG